rnacentral:ncRNA from 2 species
ACAGCCGCCGCGGGAGAGUCCCAGGGUCCGUCACCUGGGCGCCGAAGGAGCAAAUUCUCCCUCAGAAUCUCUCAGGCACCCGGUACCGCAGCGGUCAG